rnacentral:rRNA from 1 species
GCCCUACGGGGUGCAGCAGGCGCGAAACCUCUGCAAUAGGCGAAAGCCUGACAGGGUUAUUCUGAGUGACUUUCGCUAAGAAAGUCUUUUGACAUCUCUAAAAAUGGUUAGA